AGACUUUGACUCAGAGGAAGCCACGAAGAAAGCAAUGAUAGCGUGUGGACCUGGAGAAGUUUAUGCAAUCAGUGCCACGUCGUGACACUUCAUCAGAGUGUUCAAGAAACGCAAGACGUAACACUACAAACGUGCAUUUGUCUAUCCAAUCUUUGAGGAAUACGUGCAUAAAAUCUCGUCAAAUUGCGCGUGAAGGAAGUUGCUUUGCUUGCUCCAUAUGGUCAGGCCUUGUGGCCAAUCAGAUGUUCUCCUGCCUUGUAUAUAAGCGCAAGCCUCCUCGCAUCGAUCAUACCUUUAUCUUGCACAAUCCAAGAUGUGUUUCGGUUUCUCUCAAUCCUCUAACAGGCGAAAGCAGAGGCGAAGGCGCCCGUCUGCAGCAACGGGCGCCUUCGUGAGUGGUGGCGGAGCUUGUGCUGGCACUGGCGGCGGAGGCUGUGGUGGCGGUGGCGGCGGCGGUGGUGGUGGUGGCUGCGGAGGAGGCGGCGGCGGUGGAGGCUGCUAAAUACUCUGUAUGAGAAAUAGCCAUGCAUAUGAAUGUUUGUAAAUAUGCAUAAUCUCAAACUUCCUCAAAUAAUACGUACAAUUUGUUUGUUUUUUUACAGCCAAGGAUUGAGCUGGCCACGAUCUUAGCACUGUUUUGGAACU
rnacentral:lncRNA from 1 species